UACACACCGCCCGUCACACCAUGGGAGUCGAUUGCUCCAGAAGUCAUCUCACCAAGAGAUGCCCAAGGAGUGCUCGGUAACUGGGGUG
rnacentral:rRNA from 1 species